rnacentral:rRNA from 1 species
CUGACUGCUAUCGGAUUGGUACUAAGCCAUGCGAGUCGUUGUAGCAAUACAAGGCGGACGGCUCAGUAACACGUAGUCAACCUAACCUAUGGACGUGGAUAACCUCGGGAAACUGAGAAUAAACCGCGAUAGAUCAUUAUACCUGGAAUGGCUUAUGGUUCAAACAAUUUAUUGCCGUAGGAUGGGACUGCGGCCUAUCAGCUAGUUGGUGAGGUAAUGGCCCACCAAGGCUAUAACAGGUACGGGCUCUGAGAGGAGAAGCCCGGAGAUGGGUACUGAGACACGGACCCAGGCCCUAUGGGGCGCAGCAGGCGAGAAACCUUAGCAAUGUGCGAAAGCACGACUAGGUUAAUCCGAGUGAUUUCUGUUGAAGAAAUCUUUUGUCAGUCGUAAAACCACAGACGAAUAAGGGGUGGGCAAGUCUGGUGUCAGCCGCCGCGGUAAUACCAGCACCUCGAGUGGUCAGGAGGUUUAUUGGGCCUAAAGCAUCCGUAGCCGGCUUUGCAAGUCUCCGGUUAAAUCCAGCUGCUUAACAGAUGGGCUGCCGGAGAUACUACACAGCUAGGGAGCGGGAGAGGCAGACGGUAUUCUGUGGGUAGGGGUAAAAUCCACUGAUCCAUAGAGGACCACCAGUGGCGAAGGCGGUCUGCCAGAACGCGUUCGACGGUGAGGGAUGAAAGCUGGGGGAGCAAACCGGAUUAGAUACCCGGGUAGUCCCAGCUGUAAACGAUGCAAACUCGGUGAUGCAUUGGCUUAUGGCCAAUGCAGUGCCGCAGGGAAGCCCGUUAAGUUUGCCGCCCUGGGAAGUACGGACGCAAGUCUGAAACUUAAAGGAAUUGGCGGGGGAGCAC